rnacentral:rRNA from 1 species
UUGAGAGCGGCGGACGGGUGAGUAAUGCCUAGGAAUCUGCCUGGUAGUGGGGGAUAACGUCCGGAAACGGACGCUAAUACCGCAUACGUCCUACGGGAGAAAGCAGGGGACCUUCGGGCCUUGCGCUAUCAGAUGAGCCUAGGUCGGAUUAGCUAGUUGGUGGGGUAAUGGCUCACCAAGGCGACGAUCCGUAACUGGUCUGAGAGGAUGAUCAGUCACACUGGAACUGAGACACGGUCCAGACUCCUACGGGAGGCAGCAGUGGGGAAUAUUGGACAAUGGGCGAAAGCCUGAUCCAGCCAUGCCGCGUGUGUGAAGAAGGUCUUCGGAUUGUAAAGCACUUUAAGUUGGGAGGAAGGGCAGUUGCCUAAUACGUAACUGUUUUGACGUUACCGACAGAAUAAGCACCGGCUAACUCUGUGCCAGCAGCCGCGGUAAUACAGAGGGUGCAAGCGUUAAUCGGAAUUACUGGGCGUAAAGCGCGCGUAGGUGGUUUGUUAAGUUGGAUGUGAAAUCCCCGGGCUCAACCUGGGAACUGCAUUCAAAACUGACUGACUAGAGUAUGGUAGAGGGUGGUGGAAUUUCCUGUGUAGCGGUGAAAUGCGUAGAUAUAGGA